rnacentral:lncRNA from 1 species
GUUCACCUAUGUGUUCCCAGCUCCAGCAGACGGCCUGGUACACAGCAGGUGCUUGACAGGUCCUGUGGGCGAGACGCCACUGGCCAACUCUAUUGGGGCAUGCCCAGAGAGAACAUGUACCCAGAAAGCUGUUGUCGGAUCUCUGAUAGUGAAUGAAUUUGCUACAAAAGAAAAUUAAAAGAAAAAAAGCAAAAUUAAUGACAACCCUCACCACUAAAUCAAGAGAACAGACCCAAAAUCAAGUUUGGGGCAAAAGUCUGUGUGAGUGAGGAGAUUCUGAGUCCUCUCAUUUCAAAGAUUUGUUCCAUGUGUCUCAGUAGGCCAAGUCCCCCGGGAAUUGUGACGUCAGGGAAAACAGACUGAGCCCAGGACCAAACCAACCACGUUAUUCCAACUGGUGAUCUCCAGACUCUCAUUUCUGACCACUGUGUACGAGGGUGGCACUGGGUGUGUGAGACCUCGUGCCACUCGGGUUCUCUGGGGGAGAGACAGACAUCAAAAGCCAUGGACUUUUCAAUAUCCUAAGUUUUGUGAAUAAAAUAGGAGGCAAAAGAAAAUGGCCAACACAUGUAAAGAGCUCAUUAAAAGAAGUAAGAAGAGCAUCCAGAGUCCAACAUGUGUGAACAGAGGACAUGAAGGAUUAUGGGCUGGGCAGUGAGUAUUUGCUGAAUGUUCAUCUGUGUCAGACACAGCAUUAAGAUUUUCUUUUUUUGGUACCGGGGAUUGAACUCAGGGGUACUCAACCACUGAGCCAUAUUCCCAGCCCUGUUUUGAAUUUUAUUUAGAGACAGGAUCUCACUGAGUUGCUUAGGGCCUCGCUAAGUUACUGAGGCUGGCUUUGAACUUGCAAUCCUCCUGCCUCAGCCUCCAUAGCCCUGGGAUUACAGGCAUGCACCACUAUGCCCAGCCGGCAUUAAGAAUUUUCUCUCUCUCUCUCUCUCUCUCUAUGGUGCUGGGCAUUGAACCCAGGGCUUGUGCAUGUGAGGCAAGCACUCUACCAACUGAGCUAUAUCCCCAGCCUUAUAUCUCUUUUAAUUAUCAUGGAACUAUAGUAAAAAAAUCUACCCAACAAAUGUAAAGUUUGGUGACUAACACAUGUUCCUAAUUUUUCCGAUAUUGUCUAUGAAAGCCUACAAUUCUCAUUUUUCUGAAGAAAACUUGCAUUCCCGUCUUAGGCAAGUGUCUUUAACCGUGCAGGGUUCUACAGAUCUCAUCCCUUCUUUAAGGUGUGAAACCAGGUAGUUACAUGUUCACGGCUCUGAGAGCCAGGUCUGGGAUAAGACUCAUUUAUUUGUGAGACGGGUUCUGCAAAUAAUGUGAUUACUGUUGUAUAUUCGAAAUGCUCCACAAACGCACACUUUAGGGUAGUUCUAAGUGAUACCGGAAAUAGGAAAAUAGAUUCUAAACUCUCGGGGCGAAGACCAUGUCUUGCUUUUGGCACUCUGAAGUACUGCAUGUGCCUAAAGAUCUUAUAAACAUUCAAAUAAAAAUUAAAUGGUUGGCAGAAUUGGAAAAGAAUUUAUCCCAACGGCCGCAUGGAGAUGGCUUUAUCCCAGUUCCUGCCUACCUGUCAGGGGCCACGGUCAGUCACCGGCCAAGCUCAGGGGCUCUGACCCACCAUACUGGGAAAUGUUCAUCCUCGCCACUAAUCAAAGGAGGGCAGAUUAGGGCAGCAUCCAGAGACUGUUUUAUAUUUACUAAGUUAUUAAAAAAAAUUCCUUUGAGGCCACAACCAGCUUUGGCAAGCACACAGAGACUCGUACUGUCACCCCGCUGCUGAGUGUACCACAAGUCAUGGCGCUUUUGAAAAGAAACGGGUUGGGGCUGGGGUGUGGCUUGGUGGUAGAGCGCUUGGCUGGCAUUCGGGAAUCCUUGGGCUCAUUCCCCGCACCACAAAAAAUUAUAAUUUAAAAAAAGGGGGGCUGGGGGGUGCAGCUCGGAGAUAUAGCACUUGCCUAGCAAAUGCAAGGCCUUGGGUUCAACCCCCAGCUCUGCACUAAAUAAAUAAAUAAACAAAUAAAAGAAACGGGAAAGGAAGAAACGUGACCACACCCAGUGAAAGGAGGUCACCCAGCUAUUUCUGUUCUAACCCUGUGGGAAUUUAUGCCAAGGAAAAGGCGUCAAAUAGAUACAAAAAGCCAGGGCCAUUAAAAUAUGCCUGGUGGCUUUAUUGUCAAUGAAAAACAAAAUAAGACUAUAGCCUAAACACUUGCUAAGGAAAGAAUUUUCCAAAAAUAUGGUAAAAACAUACAAAGAAGUAGUGUAAAGCCACCAAAAUGACCUUAAAAGUAAGGAUAACUUUGAAGAUAAUGUUGACUUAAUAGUGUUAAGUAGGGCUGGGGCUGGGGCUCAGUGGCAGAGUGCUUGCCUCGCACGUGUGGGGCACUGGGUUGAUCCUCAGCACCACAUAAAAAUAAAUAAAUAAAAUAAAGGUAUGUGUCCUUCUACAACUAAAAAUAUUUUUUAAAUAGUGAUAAGGAAAUAUAAAUUGUAAAAUUAAGUUUAGAAAUGGCAGCUAGGUACAGAUCUGUCUGCUCUAAGCUGAGUGGUCAGCUCAGGAUCCCAUCCAGAUGCAGAUAGGACAGUGGCACUUGCUCUAGGAGCUGGUGAAUACCCAAUUUUUUUCCCCCAUCUUUUCUUUCUCGUCACGACACCAUCUUUUUAAUAAUACUGGAUAAAUAUUUUUAAACAAUGAGUCCAUGGAUGGACCAUCUGUUCUGGGAAGCCCCUGGCCCAGGAACUGUGGGAAAGGCAGGAAGCAGAAAGGUCACGGUCCCAGGGGGAAAUCCCACAGUUGACAGGCCCAGCUUCAGAGAACCUGCUUUCCUGAUGACCACAGUGACCCGGUUUUGAAGUAGUCAGCUCUUGCUGAAAUGUCACACGGGUGGUGGAUCACGGGGCAGUCGGUCUCCCCCAUGUCCCUUCCUUCGUUCUGAACAAAGCAUUUCUGUGGUGCACAGAUGUCCACCAGACUUCAGUGCACUUCAACCUUAUUUUAAUCUUAAAAAAUAACUAAUAUGUACAUACAUUUAUUGUCAGGAAGCAGAGAGCUGGGUGCACAUGAGGAAAUAAAAGAAAGCCGAGGGUUUGUGGAAUCCCAGGAAGAUUCCCUACAAUCAGGGACGUCGCUGAAGGAGAGCCAGUGCUUACCCCUUCCACUCUGGGGAUGACCACAGUGUCCAUCCCUACAGGACCCUGUCCACAGGCCAGAAGGCUUCUGACCCCGCAGGACCUGGCAGAGGGAGUGACAGGUCUGUGUAGCCCGGUCCCACUCAGGAAAUGCAACUCAAGGGGCCAAGUUCUUGACAUUAUGUGACCUGAAACUCCAUACUUUUGUUCAGUGGGAAAGAUGGUUUUGGGUCCCAUGGAGGAGCGGACAGCGUCACAGAGGCCAGUCACAGAAAUCAGGAGUGCCAGAGGUGAGGGGGCAUUGGGGGAGACCUCAGGCUGUCUAUACUGCCUGCCUCCCUGGGGACAGAAGAAACCUCCAGGCAUCAGUGGGGACACGGCUUCAGGUUUUCAUUUCCUCGUGGGCUGCUGGCCCCAUGUGAAUGUCUGUGGCAGCAGAAGGAGCCAAAUGCUCCUCUGUCUUCCCCAGCUGCAGGCCCCUUCUUCCUCCUCCACCCUCUGCUGCCCUUCCCCAGUCUGGGGGGAAGGUCAGUGUUGAGUUCCCAUUUCAAAGGCCCAAACAGAGGCUGCAGGGCUUAAAGCCAGGCACCCAGUUAACAUGGAGGGCAAGGUACAGGGGAUGCUGACCGUCCCCCACCCUCCUGCAGGGCUCAUCAUUUCUUCGCCUUCCCUGUGGUUGGCAGGGCGAGGGGUGCCCCUGUCAGGGUGGUGCCAAGCAGAAAACAGGAGGAUCAGUGCCAAGAGGGUCAAGGGCAAGUCUGAGCUCAUGACCCUGGCCUGGUCCCUGCCCACUUCCUGGCUUCUGCUGCCGCCCCUCAGUCUUGUGCCUGUGGCCACACCCAGCUCUCUACCUUGUCUAGCACCACUCUGCUCCGUCAUUAGGGCCUCAGCUCAAAGGUCACCUAUUCCAAGAGGCCUUUGCUGACCACAGCAGACAGAGUCCUGCUCUGAUGACCCUGUUGCAUCUCCGCCACUGUCUGGUAUGUGCCCUGUGGCUGGCCGUGUGCGUGUCCGUCCUGGACCCCUGCCUCUGUCUCCCUUCCCUCCAUGAUCCCAACGCCUGGUCUGGCUCCCCUCGUGUCUCCAGAGCCAGGUGCCCUGCUCACUCUGGCUGUGGUGAAUGGACGCCAGGCCACUCUGGUGCUCCAGUGUGUCCUGCUGUGCCCACCUUGGUCACACCUUUGCUCCUGUCUGGGUCACCUAUGUGUUUGGUUGUGCAUCUUCUUGAACACCACUGUGGGUUCAGGUUGGGCACCUCCAGUGGACAAGAUGGCAGGAGGGGAGCUGGCGGCUGGGCCCAGGGACUCCUCCAGCUCUUCUGCAGACCCUUUUUCCUUCCCGGGAGGCCGCCUCUCCCCUGAGGUCACCUAUCCCAGGCGCCCUCCUCUAGCACACUCUCUGUGACUAGAUGGCCCGAGAGGCCAUUUCCCUCCAGGCUCAAUGAGUGGAGGCAAACCUACGGUGACAAGAGAUUGGGGCUGUAGCCGAGGCUUGAGGACCUUGGGAUCCACUUUGCUGCCGACACCUCUUCCCUUGCUCUCAGAAGACGAGGCCUGGGGGUGGCUCAGGAAAUGAGCAAGGAGAAGCAGGGCUGGCUGGGGGCCAUGCUGGGGCCAGCUCCAGACAGGACGGGGGCCCCUGCGGCUGACAAGGGUGGAAGCCAGGGCUCACCAGGACAUGUGGCCCACCCAGGUGAGACACUGGGCGGGGGAGGGAGGCAGGGCGGUGGCCUCCUGCCCAUCGGGUCCCCGCGCUGGUCAAGGUCCUAUGAUUGCAGCUGAGGUGGCCGCAGCUCCUCCCUGGGCCUUCCCCUCAUCCCAGACUCUCACCUGGGCUGGCAGUGGCGGGGGCUGGGAAAGAGGCAGGUGACAAUCCCCCUGAGAGGUGACAGCCUGGGGCGGGAGCCACCAGCGCGCCACCUGAGAGUGGGUGAGGAGCAGGUUAGCUGGGUGAAAAGUUCAGCGCCAGGGCAGCUGUCUGUUUCCCCGCGAAUUCACCCACUAUUUGGCUAACCUUGCUCUGAACCCAGGCCCGAGACCCCUCUCCGCUCCCCCCGCCUCCCCGCUGGGCGCCCCGGCUGCCACCCGCCUCCUGCCGCCCGCGCCGCCAGGCUGGGGACACGCUGGCCUUGAGAGGCCUGGGCCGAGGGCGCCUGGGGGAGAGGCCGGUGGCCCGGCCAGCGGUUAUUUAUGACCUGAACCUUCUUCCCAUCUUCAGUAACCAAAAUAAAGCCGGCUGCGGGCUGCGGGCGAGGUCUGGGCCCCCAAAGGCCAGGCGUCCCGCCCGCCCUCCCAAGUGCACAGCUGGCUCAAGGCAGGGACCUUGCCUCGGCCAUCUGUCAUCACGGCCUCAGGCAGGAGCUGGACACAGGGGCCAGCAGUGGCGGAGGGGUGGCCAGCCGGCUUCCCUGGCCCUUCUGUCGGUCCUUCACUGCUCAGGGGCCGAUCCCCACAGACAGUCCUCGUCCUGGUCCCCCUUUUCCUGACUCGUUCUGUGGGAUGUAGAGGUGGAGGGAGAGGACUGUCCCUUGGCAGUGUCCACCCACUGCUGGCGGGCAGAGCUCCUGGCACCCGUGAUUUCCCAACGUCCAGCAGCAACCCUGUCUCCUGGCCGAGGAGAAUUGCUGGUGACAGAGCAACCCAGGUCACCGUGACCCCAAGGCCGCACUCUCAGCCACUGGAUGCACUUCCACUCUCACUUUCCAUCCUCUGCUGAAGUCCAUUCUUGGCAACUGUAGAGGUCACACGUCCCAGCGACCAGUGGAAACAAAGAUCCACAGAGCAUGCAUCGUCCUGUCCCCAGCCUCACCCCUGCGAGUUCCAGAUGACUUCCUCCACUGCCUCCCGACAGCGUGGAAACCAGGGCACGUGUGGUCAGGAAGAGGCUGUUUUGACAGUCGUGGGUCUCACGGUGCUUGCUCGUCUCCAGGGAUGCAGUGCCAGGAGCUCCAGGUCAAGGCCGGAAUAAUUCUUUUUAAUAGCUGCAUGACCUGCCUGCUCUGGGUGAUCCAGGAUUUUUUUUUUUUUUUUUUGGUACCAGGGAUUUAACCCAGGGAUGCUCUACCACUAAACCACAUCCCUGUUCCUUUUUAAAAAUUUUGAGAUGGGGUCUUGAUGAGUUGAUUAGGGCCUCACUAAAUAACUGAGGCUGGCCUUGAACUUGAGAUCCUCCUGUCUCAGCCUCCUGAGUAGCUGGGAGUAGCCACUGCCAUUGCCUUGGGCUGAACCAGGACAAUUUUCACUUGCUUACUUUUUCUUUUUUUUUUUUAGUUGUAGAUGACACAAUACCUUUAUUUAUUUUUAUGUGGUGCUGAGGAUCAAACCCAGUGCCUCACAUGAGCUAGGCAAGCGCUCCACCACUGAGCCAGCACCCCAGCCCCACUUGCUUACUUUUGUAAUGAGAUAGGACUUACUCAGAAUCCCAAGUGCACAGCUCCAUCAAUGCUGCACGGCUGAACGUGUGAGGUCACCGUGCACCCAUCGUCUCCUGCCCCUAAAUUCUCUUCCCCAGUCUCAUCAGCUCAAAAGAUCAUCACUAGGGUUCCUCUGUCUCCACAGAUUCAUCGCAUCUGUUUUGAACUCUGCAUGAAUACCAUGAGGAAGGAAGGUUUUGUGUCUGGACCCUUUUGCUUGAUGUAUGUUUGCAGAGCUGCCCACGUCCCCGGUGGCAGGAGGCUGUUCAUUUUGGUGGCUACAUUGUGUUUCAUUAUUUGAAUGUCUGCCAUAAUCCAGCUGCUACUUGAAGGAAAUGAGCAUAGUUUCCAGUUUUUUUCCAACACAUCACAAGCAAUGCGGUAAUAGGCAUCUUUGAGCACACACCUCUGUGGGCUCACGCUUUUAUGUCUAAGGAAGGACUCCAUCUUUCCAUUUGUUGAUGAGAAUUAAAGUUUCCUUUUGAUACUUAUCCAAGGACUUGACGUUCCUUCCAUCUGGAGCUCCAUCCAGUGACAGGACUUCAUUGAUGGGACCUCAUUGACGGGACCAGAUCUUGCUGAGGAGCAGUGGGAUGUACCUCACGGACAAUGGACAGCCAUCAACAGCUCUAAGCAGAGUGGCGGGGGAAGAUGUGUGUUCCGGAAAGGUCUCCCUGGCUGCAUGGUGGGGGAGCCGUGAUGUGGGACACUGUGGAGGCAGAGACCACUGUUGAGAAGAGCAGCUGAGGCAGGAGGGGACAGCCCUAAAAGAUGGAGGGGAAAAACUGACCAGCCCCAGGGAGUGGCCAGUGGAGGGGGCAGCCUGGGGGUGAGGACAGACAGGGCAUAGAAGGGUCAUGAGACCUGCUCCAUCUCGCCCAGGCCCCGGCCCAGCAGGGUGGCCCUGACUCAGUAGCCAGCCGCUAAGGUUCUGCCCCACUCUUAGGGGCUGGGUCUGUGUGGCGGCCACUUCCCGAGUCCUGCUUUCUCUCUCCACCCAAAUGGGCCCCCAGCCCCACAGGGAGGCCUGAAGCCCUUCUGCUGGGUGAGUCUGCCAUGACACGGUGGCCAGUUCCCCGGGGGAGAGGACGGCCUCCUGCCUCACCUGGUCUCGGCUCCACACCUCUCCUCUGGAGGCCUGUCUACUCCCCACUAGCACGUCCAGUCUGAUGAUUACUUCAUGAGGCAGGAAAACCAGGUACCCAUCUAGCACUUACCAAAUCCCUGGGAAGGCCUCCUGCCCCUGCUGGGAAGGCCUCCUGCUACAACAUGGGAACAAGAGGCCUUUAGCAUCAGCAGAGGCCGCCAGCCACCACUUCUUGCAGUUGGGGUGAAUGGGGAGGCUGUUCCCGUUCCUGCCAGGAGGGGCAGACGCAGGGCCGGAUGGUGGCAACCCCGAGAGGUCUCCCAGCCCUACCUCAGACAGCCCGUGAUGGACUGCCAGAGAGGCCUGCUCAGCUGCCAAGCCCACACUGCCAAGUGCCCACCAGGAGCCUGCCAACUGCCAGUCAGGAGGGGCCAGUGAUCAGGAGGAGGGCUGCCAACUGCCUGUCACUACCCUGGCCAACUGUCAGUCAGGAGAGGACCAAGCCCCAGGAAGUCAGGGUUGCCCGUCAGGCAUCAGCCAACUGUCACUCAGGAAGGCCCGCGGCAAGCCAGGGCGUCCGGCAGUGGUCAUUCUGCUGACAGAUACUGUUCCCGCUACCUGGCAUCUUUUCACCUUCCCUGACACUGGGCUUUCAGGGCUACCCCUCCCCAGCGCUCAGUCCCUGCAUCUCUGUGGGCUGGUUUCCUCUUUGGCUGCCAGGACAGACCACAAGGCUCAGGUUUGGCCAAUUAGACCACUGCCUUCCUCUGCCGUUGUGAUUGGUUUAUGCCUGGACCUGGCUCUCAACCCCGGCCAGCUGUAACCAAUCAGAACCAACGCUGGGUGAGGAGUCUUCUCUGGGGUGUGAGACUAGCAGCCAGCUUGCCAUCGCUGGAGCAAGAUGCUGAGAAGGAAGCCAGCCCCAAGGAUGCCAAAAUGAAGGGCAGAGAAACUGGAUCCGGGUUCAGGUCCUGGAAAUACUGUGUGCUCCUGGAUCCAGCCAUACUGAAACCAGUCACCACUGGGCCUUCUAGUUGUGUGAAUCAAUGAAUUCCUCCCUUUGGGCCUAGCAAGAAACAUCGUGAGGAGCACCAGCAAUCACUCUGGGAGUCUACCAGUGUCUCCGGGGCCCAGAUGCUGGUCAUGGCUUUAGUGGGAGGCUAGGGAUGUUUCCAGAGGAACUUCUGACUUAAAGGGCUAGACAAGCGGCUCCAUGUUUGCCCUCCUUGCCCCAGACUGUGGAGCUAUUGGCAUGAUCAAGAUGUUGCCCACGGGCUGGGGCUGCGGCUCAUUGGUAGAGCACUCGCCUAGCAUGUGCGAGGCGCUGGGUUUGAUCCUCAGCACCACAUAAAAAUAAAUAAAUAAAAUAAAGGUAUUGUGUCCAACUACAAGUAAAAAAAAAAAAAAGAUGUUGCUCAAGCCUCAGCAUCAAGCAAAGCUGAGAAGUGGGGGAUUUGCCCCAGUGAGGUGGUAUCUGGAGCAAAGACUCCCCUGGGGUCCAGUGGCAAUGGCAGCAGCAGCAGUGGUUUGGAGCUUCCUAUAUCCUUUCCAGAAACUUCAGGGAGAGUCAGUGUCUUUGGGGAUUGGGACAAAGAAACCCACCAGCCCCUUAUACCCUCAGGGUGAAGCAGCUGCAUCUUCUGGGGACAAGGAACAGCCGACUCAAGGCUGCUUUCUGCAAUCCUGCCUCCUCACACUUGUUAAGUGUCCUUCCAUGCACCUGGCAGAGCACUGGGCACAUUUCAGGUGCUCCAGGAAUUAUUGGAGGUAGGGGGACGAUCUGCCCAAGAAAAGGAAGGGGAGAAAGUGUGCCUGCCUGAGGAAGGCUGGGACGCUGUUAGUCAAAUUUCUGUUGCUCUGAUAAAAUACCUGAGAAAAUUCUAAAAAAGAGAAGGUAAUUUUUGGCUUAGUUUCAGGCAAUUGGUUUUGGGCCUGGCAGAAUGUCACUGUGGGCGGUGGGCAGCUUGCCUCAUGUGGCUGGGAAGCAGACAGAAAGAGGAAGGGGCUGGUGUCCCAAUCUCCCCUUCAAGGACAUGCCCCCAAUGACCUAACUGCCUCUCACUAGGCCCCACCUCCUACAAGUUCCACCACCUCCCAGUAGCACCAAGGACUGAGAUCAAGCCAUUAGCACAAAGCCAUUUAAGAUCCAAAUCAUGGUAGGUACCAAAGAAGUCAUUGACCUCUUCCUCCCAGCUCAGAAGUGACUGGGCUCAGAGGUAUUGGAAUCUGACAGCAGUGUUGACACGGCUAUGCCAGGAAGAGACCAGGUGGGGCCGGAUAAAGAUCUCGAUGAAUCACGACAAGUGCCAGAACCACACUCUUACAUCUCAGGCUUCUCAUUCAAGAAGCCACAAAACUCAGGGAUUGAAAGUCAGGAGUGUGCAGCUCCACUCUGGGGUUCAAAUCCGGCUCCACCAGCACCCCUAUAAAAUAAUCCUGGGGAGAUCCUUUUACCUGCUUCCAGCUCAGCCUCCUAGAGCAGGUUAGAUUUUCACUACUAAUACAUAUACCUUACUCACACACAGGGAUUGAGUACUGUGAUUAUAAAAUAAGUAUGAUUUAUUAAUGUCUUACUAGGUGUUUACUGGCACCAAACCCACCCGUGUUAGUUCACUAUGUGACUUACUCCCUAGGUUUUCAAAGCCACUCUGGGGGACAGAGCUAUUGGUCCCAUCCCACAGAGGAGGAAGUUGAGGCUGAGGGAAGUCAAGAUCAGGUUAAAAUCAAGCUCAAGUUCCCAGAGAGCCUGGCUCCAAACCCCAGACUCUUUGCUUCUCCGCGCGCGCCCCGUGGCAGCAGCUGGAGCGGCCACUCGGCUUCCCUCGGUGGACAGCAAGCAAGGCCGGCCAGCCAGGGAGCCAGCCCAGCCCCAGCACAAUUGCCCCGGGGAGCCAGGGUGGUGUUGGGGGAUAUUUAGCUGCAUAGCGCACUCCGCAUGCCAGGGCUGUAGGAGCCCACACGCCCAGAGCCAGGCCUCAGGCUGGGGCUCUGCCCAAGCCACAUGUGACCUCCCCAAGCAGGAUCCAGUUACAUCACAGCAGCAGCCCAAGGAACAGACCUGGCUGUGUCUCCCACCACGUGCUUAUUUCCUUUGCCUUGUGAGUGUUGAAAAAUGAAAGGAAUGAUAAGGGUUUGGGGAUGUGGUGGGGGGCUGGCUGGAAAAUCCUGCAGAACUUGGGUAACUCAGCCAGAGGGAGGCACGGAGGAGUUCUCAGAGAGAGAAAAAAAUCUCACAAGGUUACAGGCACAGCCUGGGAGCAGGGGCUUCUGGAUUCCUGCUCCCCGUUGGGGGUUGAAGGUCCAGCCUUGGGACAGAAGGUUCACAUCCUGGGGUUCUGCUGCUGGCCUCCCAGGGCCGGGCCACCACAGCCCUUUGGGCCUCAGCUACUCUUGCAAGGAAGAGUUGGGGAAAUGCAUGCAGACCAGAGGCCCCUGAGGGGCAGUUUUGCUCCUCGGGGACAUUUGGAAAUGUCCAGGAACACAUUUUUUGGUAGUCAGAGCUGGGAAGGGCAACUAGUGAGUAAAGACCAGGGAAGCCAGACACCCUCAGUGCCCACGAUGGCCCCCGCCACAGAGAAUGCUCCUGUCCCCAGUGUCAAGAGCCUGUGGUUUAGAGAAGGCCGAUGUGGAGCCUGGAAGGUGUAGCAGCGCAGGCCCAUCGGGAAGCUUAAGGGAAGGCGGCGGGAGGAAGGGGCGUCCUGGAAGCCUCCACGUGGGCUGCCUCUGAGGAAGCGUCUGUGUCCAUCAGACAACAGAUGUUUACCCAGUGUCUAGCGGAGCCAGCACUCUGCCAGGAGCUGGGCAGAAGUGGACAACUUCUCACCUCAUGCAGUGUCUGGUCCAGAGGGGCAGAAAGAGCCAGACGGAGUAAGCAAGCAAGUCAGUGACAUGGCCCCCAACACCAUCAAGGAUGGUAAAUGGAUGAACAACUGCCGUCUGUCCAGACACUGCGAGACUGUUCAGCCACCGAAGGAGGAUGUCCUGAUGCAACUAUGACCCGGAUGAACCUGGAAGGCCUUAUGCUCAGGGGAAGAAGCCCAACCCUGCAGAUCACGUGCCACUGAUGGCAUUGCUGUGAAAGAACAGGAAAAUGUGUAGAGACAGGAAGUAGCUGGUUGCCAGGGACUGAGAGAGCUGGGGGAAAUGGAGGAGGACUGGUAAAGGCU